rnacentral:rRNA from 1 species
UACAGGGGGGGCAAGCGUUGUUCGGAAUUACUGGGCGUAAAGGGCUCGUAGGCGGCCAACUAAGUCAGACGUGAAAUCCCCAGGCUCAACCUGGGAACUGCGUCUGAUACUGGAUGGCUUGAGAUUGGGAGAGGGAUGCGGAAUUCCAGGUGUAGCGGUGAAAUGCGUAGAGAUGUGGAGGAACACCAGUGGCGAAGGCGACUCUUUGGCCUGUAACUGACGCUGAGGCGCGAAAGCGUGGGGAGCAAACAGG